rnacentral:rRNA from 1 species
UACGUAGGGUGCGAGCGUUGUCCGGAAUUAUUGGGCGUAAAGAGCUUGUAGGCGGUCUGUCGCGUCUGCUGUGAAAAUCCGGGGCUCAACCCCGGACUUGCAGUGGGUACGGGCAGACUAGAGUGUGGGAGGGGAGACUGGAAUUCCUGGUGUAGCGGUGAAAUGCGCAGAUAUCAGGAGGAACACCGAUGGCGAAGGCAGGUCUCUGGGCCGGUACUGACGCUGAGAAGCGAAAGCAUGGGGAGCGAACAGG